AUCGCCACCGCCGUCACACAGAAGACAGUGCAGGAGCUGUCGCCGCUGCCCGCCCCCCAUCUCCUCCCCUGAUCCAACUAAACAUCCCAUAAACUGAAAAAGAGGGUGAUUGGUUAGGAUGCUGCAGCAGCUAACAAGAUGGGAAGACAACUCACUUUGCCCCUCCUCCAAGCACAUCUGCGACUCUUCGAUCUGCUUCUCUCCCUUGCAAGAUAUGAGUUUCUUAUGUAUCAUUGCUGCAUCCUGUUGCACACAUGCAAUUCUAUUGUUUUGUGUAAGAUCCAUUGACUUUUGUGGAGAAGUUCGCGUCACGAUGGAAUUCUGUUGUCAAGGUCGCCAUGUCGGCAAGCUCGUUGGUGUCGUACUGCCCCAACAGGAGCGCCAUCGGGUCGGCGGCGCUGCUGGCAGCUGCAACCAUGGAUGAUGGAAAUUGUGAGUCCUGCAAAAUCUGUACGUGGGUUAGGAUAACAGGUUGAGCCAUCUGUUCCUCUACAGUCAAACACUUGAUUGGGAUGUUCUAUCCAUGAUGGGAUCAGAUUCAUGAAACUCGACCUAUUGAAGAAGUUUCAGUCCAGCUUCACUCACCGCCUUUCAUUGUCAUCGAGACAAUCGACAUUGCUCAGAACGCCGCAUCCCCAGCCUACUCUCUCUUCACCCGUCAAUGCUCAUGUGCUCCGACCCUCCCCGACCCCUCCCAGCAAGCAGCAGAGUCUCUCUUGUUCGAGCUCCACCGGGCCGGCGGCGGCGACGUCCAUGUUCGUUGGGCGGAGCACAACGCUGGGGUUGAAAUCCACCAUGCUGCUACUGAUGAGGCUCUCCUCCUUUGUCCACCGGUUAUCAGACAACUGCAUAUGAGACGUCCAUCAUCGUACACUCAUUUGAUCGUGCUGAUGCGCCUGGCUGUGGGAUGGCUUCUGCCGGGAUGCUCCGAGGUGAGGCCAACUCAUGAACUUGCUAAGACGUCUUUACCUUAAAUUACAAUUUCUUAUUAUGAUCUUGAACGAAUACUAAGGCUUGCAUCUUUUAUAAAGCUUGCCAGUUACUGUGUAGUUUCAGUUAACAUGAAAGUCACCUGUGGUGAAUCUCUUUUCUGGUCCACAGAUUUCACGAAUCCAUUAUGACGAAAUAGGGUGGCCGCCCGCUUUAUUUCAUGAAUCCAUUAUCGCCUACAGAAUAACGUCCUGGCCCUCCCAGUUUGAGUGAUUCUCUUUAUUUUGCUAUAUCUCAACUGUGCAUGCAUCGUUUAUGUUUGCCGGCCCGCACCCCCGUGUCUCCUCACGUUAAUGUGGCUGCUGGCCGCGGGACUGACGAGGAGGUCAUGGUGGAGCGGUGGUGCUGGCUGUGGCCUACCAGGAUAUCAUAAGUUCUGCCUUGUUCUUUUGUGUUUGAAUCAGAUUUAAUGGUUCUUGCUUUUACAGGCAUGCAUCGAUCUUGCUCCUGUUCUGUAUGUAGGUUACACUUAAUGUUUUAUGGGAUGUUCUGCAGAUUUUUAGAACACUAAGGGCAUAUCUUGGCUUGAAUGCUGCUGGCCCGAUGAAGGUCAUGCAACAUGGCAGGUGAGUGCUCCUCUCCCCUUUCCCUCUAUGCUAAAAAUUAGUUCCAAUUUCCAUGCAAGUUCGCCAAUUUAGAUCUAGAGGUAAAGGUUCUGUACGAGGUUAGUUAGCAAGGUCUUGCUGGUGACUACUUGAACUCAAGUUGGACAACAUAUGCAAUGUCCAAUUCAGCGAGAUAUCAUGACUCGAUUUCACUUUCAUUCCAUAGUUGAGAUCAUAAUUUUAUUGAUAUUUUGCAUCUUUUAUAGAUAUAGAUUGAUAACAUUUAAUGAUGUUAUAGGAUCUGUACGAGGUUAACAUUAUAUAUAUAUAUAUAUAUAUAUAUAAUGAUUAGAAAAAGAGACACCACAUGUCUUAUGGAUCAAAACUGAUACUUGCUCAUGCUGGCAUCUCAAGGAAUUUUAAAUUCCAAAUACACGUGUGCAUGUGUCCACUUGGAAGCUACUUGUUCAUGAGUUGUUCGAGACAAAAACCCAGUCUAUAUGAUUGACUGCUCUCCUAUUUUUUUUAUGUGUGCGCCUGCUCCGUGCUCUUUUGUUCCCAGCAGGCUAUUGUGUUGAUCCGUGGGGAUUUCUUUUUACCCCUGCCAUUGGUUUUCUCUGUAAAACGCAGGUGUUCCAAAUACUUUUCUUUUAUAAAAAAUUUGGGCUGUCAUAGCCUUUUCUCUGGAAGCGUUGAUUGUUAAACUACUAAAAUGUUUUCUGUAGGUUUUGCUUACUCGUGGCUGUAUGUUGGCUUCGUGCUGGUGGGCUAUAGUUCUCCUGUCACAAAUCAUGGAGACAUUCAUCCUCGCAGAUUUCUGCUCCUGCUAUGUGAAAAGGGCAAUCCACAACAUGAAUAUACAUGUAGCAAUGGUGUGCCCUUGGAACAUCCUGCAGUAAGCCCUCUCAAAGAAUCCUUAUGAAGUAUUCCUAGAGUUUGGUGGAUAUGACCGGAGUGAUAUUUUCAUAAGGAAGUCCAAGGCACAAGGGCUAUAAAUGUUAAGGAUUGCCUGACUGCGACAACUAUUGGGUUCCGUGUCACCAUGCAGUGUCACAAUAAGGCCAUUGAUCCAGUGUAGUUGUUGGGCAUGCACAUUGUGGAAUGGUUGUAGCAACUCGCUGGACUGCGGAUCAGGCCAUUGCCUUCCUCAGCAGAGCAGUCGGGAAAUUUUUGGACUACAGAAUUAGGUAAGUAAUUGAAUAUAUUUUUAUGGUACAAAAAGCUUUCCAUUCAAAUGUUUUGCAAAACUUGACCUUUUCUUUUGUAAACAAAGACUAGAACCAUGGAAGAAGUUACUGAGUUAGCCUAAUCUAAGAUAGAACAUAUGCACUUUUGGAAAGCUUUUUUGAUUGCUAAAUCCGGUUAUCAAAGCUAAGAAGCAACUUUUCUAAACAUAUAGUUUGAGAAGUUGUUACUCUUUGUGCACUGUGUGUGCUGCUUCUUUUGAACGUUCAGAGCUGAAGGUCAUUUCUGCUCUAAUGUUAUACAUUUUCAUUAGCAUGACGCAAGGUUAAUUUAUUUCUUCUUAUCUUGUUACUUAUUUUUCAAAUAUUAUAAACCGCUGAUGCCCGAAUCCUGCUUUAUUCAAUUGAAUGUAAAGUUCUCUCCUUCAAUAUUCUAAUGCUUUACUAAUUUGUAAUAUGUGAGAAACCGAGAAGAAGGGUGCAUGCACAAUUUAUACCAGCAUCACAUGCCAAAUUGGUUUCUCUUUGUGUUAGUUUUCUUCUCAAACUGGCAAGGUGUAGAGAUUAGAUUCUUUUCCCUUCAAACGAAUAUAAGACGCUCUUCUUUACUUUCCGAUUCAUUCAUUUAUUUUUGACACUCUGUUCAUUUAAAAUUUUGAAGUUCAAAUGAAUAAGUAUGUUUUUAUUGUGUAGUCCCGAGAGAUGAAGUAAGAGUUGCAGUUGAUCAUGUUAUCCAAACAAGGCUUGAUCCAACAAACAUAAUGACUUGAUUAAUUGGGCUUAUAAGUUGGUUGCAUCAACUGAUAGAUGCACUAAUGUAUGUAAGUGAAAUUAUAUCCUUGAGUCAUGAUUGGCAUAUUUCCUUGCUUGAUGAAGGUUCCAUCUCUACAUAAUAGUUUUCUAUGCAUAUGAAACUGCACUAUAUAGACAAAAGGUGGACGACUGCAAAUCCAGUGGCCGUUACUUCGUUGUGGACAUGGGAGUCGUCUGAAUUUUGUCGUCCAUAUAGCAAUGUUCCUACGCAUAUCCUGUCAAGUAAAAAAAUUCAUGAAAAUAUGAGGUGGGCCGUGGGCAUCAAUCUUUCGCAGGUUCAGGGUUGAAAAUGUCGACAACUUUGUAUGGUUGAAGGAUAUUCCAAGAUUUCCCACUCUCGCAAGAAAACAACUUGGCUCACUUAUGAUAAGAUGUUCUGGUGUUAAGUUUCUCCUCUUUUAUGGACCAAGAAGAUGAAUUAUUUUGAAAACAUCAACUGCAUUUGUACUAACAGAGCAUUUUUUAGCUGACAGAGCAUUUGUUGUGAUGGUGUUGGAAGCGUCGUGUAUGGCAAAGGUAGCUCCCGUUGUAGUGCAGAGCAGAGUUAGCACCAUUCAAGUCCAUUAUUGAAUGUGUGUAUAUUACCAAAUGAUGUAUGUCUCAUUUUCAUAUUAAAGUGUGGCUUCUAUGGCAAAAAAAAGCUUGCGGCAAAGCCGAGGAGAUGGAUUGCAAGGGGGAAGAGAAGAUGUUUUCAUAGAUUAAAUUUUGUAAGAAAAGUAGUGUGUAUAUACUCUAUCUGUGAUUUAACUUUGACCACCAAACUUA